ensembl:lncRNA
UUUCCAUUCUGACUAUAAGAAAAUGUUAAACAAAUACAUAUAUCUGUAAUACAGCCUACAUCACAGGUGUGUACUGUCCUCAAAGCAAACGGACAAUGAAGUCCCAAUCUCUUUCGUAAUUGACAGGCUUUUGAGUGGUUAAAAAUUGUCGAUGGGAGUUUUAAGUUUUUAGCUUUUUAUUGGUGGAAUAGGAGGCGAUAAAGCGACUUCAUCAACUGCAUAUUUGUGAACGAGCAAACUCAUCGAGUGAACUCCAUCAAACCUGGUUCAAGAGCUCUCGUGAGAUGUAAUGAUAUCUCCUUCCAGACCUGGUGCCACAACCUACGUGGACCUAUUUUGAUUUAUAAAUGAUUUGUAAAAUGCUGCUGAGUUGAUGGUGAUACAUCAUUAGUUAAUUCUGUUAUAUCUAGACUGCUCUGUUUCUCAGUCACCAUGUUGCAAUUACACAAUUUAUACUGAACUCAUCAAUCCAUUUGCCAUUGUUGUUCCUUUGCCAAAAAGAUUAAUUUCAAACUUCAGCAUCAUUAGCUGAGGUUAAAGACAUCUCAUCAAAUGUAAUUUAACAUUUAAAUCAUGAAGGUAAAUCAUCAUUGUUGACUUAAGGUAGCACCAUGACCUAGGUACUCCUACGUAAAAGUAACAAAUGUUCUGACAACGGUAGGAUCAUAUCAUUAGUGAGGUCUAUCCUUACCUGUGGUUCUUUAAAAGAGAACUUCAGAACAUGAUGAUUGGAGAUCUUAUGAGAUAUGAUUAUAUCUCCUCCUGGCUGAGCGCAACAACUCUCCAGGUUUCCAUUCUGACUAUAACAAAAUGUUAAACAAAUACAUAUAUCUGUAAUAUAGCCUGCAUCACAGGUGUGUACUGUCCUCAAAACAAACGGACGAUGAAGUCCCAAUCUCUUUCGUAAAUGACAGGCUUUUGAGUGAUUACGAUUUUUCAAUGUGAGUUUUCAUUUUAAGUUUUCAUUUGUGGAAAUAGGAGGCGAUCAAUAGGCUUUAUCAACUGCAUAUUUGUGAACGAGCAGACUCAUCGAGUGAACUCCAUCAAACCUGGUUCAAGAUCUCUUGUGAGAUGUAAUGAUAUCUCCUUCCAGACCUGGUGCCACAACCUACGUGGAUCUAUUUUGAUUUAUAAUUGAUCUGUAAAAUGCUGCUGAGUUGAUGGUGAUAUAUCAUUAGUUACUUCUGUUAUAUUUGGACUGCUCUGUUUCUCAGUCACCAUGUCGUGAAUACACAAUUUAUAGUGAACUCAUCAAUCCAUUUGUUA